UUUACAAAAACAUGUCUUUUAUGAUUAAUAAUUAAAAGUCGGGCCUGCCCCAUGAAAUUUAAAUGGCCGCGGUAUUUUGACCGUGCUAAGGUAGCAUAAUCAUUAGUUUCUUAAUUAGAAGCUGGAAUGAAAGGUUUGAUGAAAAAACUUCUGUCUCAGUUUUAAGUUUUCGAAUUUUAUUUUUAAGUAAAAAAGCUUAAAUUUAAAUAAAAGACGAGAAGACCCUAUAGAGUUUAAUAUUUUUAACUGAAUAAAUAAAAUGAAGAAUUAUUUUUUUUUCUUGUGUAAAUAUUUAGUUGGGGUGACUAAAAAAUUUAAUAAACUUUUUUAAACUAAAAACAUUAAUAUAUGAAAAUUUUAAUGAUCCUAAUAAUUAAUUUAGAUUAAUAGAAAAAAUUACCUUAGGGAUAACAGCGUUAUUUUUUCUAAGAGUUCUAAUCGAAGAAAAAGUUUGCGACCNCGA
rnacentral:rRNA from 1 species